ACACUAAAUUUGGGUCUUUGCUAUAAGAUAAAGGAAAAACAAAAGCACUAGUGUGAUCAAUGGGGCCAUCUCUGAUUAAUAUGGGAUUCUCUCUGUCAAUGGCAGUAAUGGGAUGAAUGGUUGGUGAUGUUGGUGGGGAUGCAUAGAGUGCAGACGUCUCAAGAAUCUGUCUUCUGACAUUUUCAUGUUGUUGGGCAAUCUUUUGUGCCUUCAAAGCCGUCAAGUACAAUCCAGCAGCAAGAAAAACUGAUGUCAAAGCAAGAACUCCAGCUGCAGAGAAUAACCCUUCUCUGAUUACAAGGCAACUGGCUCUUGGUUUAUACCAAUUCUUCAAAUGCCCAGAUUCAAUGCUUAAUCCAAUCAGUAACAAGAUUUCCCCAACAGCAAAACAAAUCCUGAAAAUGGGUUUUUGGGUGUUAGUUUGAUGAUAAUGAUAUAGAGUUACACUUAUUAAGUUGUGAGAAAGUUUGAUCUGUUUGAUUGAAACAGAAAUAAGAAGAAGAAAAAAAAGAGGGCUUUCAAGUUAUAUGACAAUUAAAAUUCAUAUUUUGGGUACUUUCCUAUUGCUUUUGAUGUUAUGAUGAAAUAAGAUUCAAAACUGUUUGAUGUUAUGACUGAAAGAGAAAGUGAAGUGACUUUUAGUUUUACUUACCAAGUGGUGACAAAGAAGAAUCCUGCUUGGCAUGUCAAAUUCUUUGCAGAGCCAAAAUCUGGGUCCAAUGUGGCCAAAGCAGAAGGUGGAAGCUUACUGACUGCAAUCAACAUGAAUAUGUGCUCAAUCAUCAUGGCAAUAGCUAAUCCCACAAAAGCAACCACAGCACAAAGCAAAGGUGUUUUCCCACUUCCACUAUAUACACAUUCAUAGUUAUUAUUGCCUUCUCUACCUGUGUCUAUCCAUGUCAUCUGCAAACAAAGAUUUCAGAAUUAUUUUUCAGUAUCUGUUUUCCACAAUGAAAAAGAACAAGGAAUGAUUUAGUAAGUACUACACCUCUGAACGUGUGGCCUCUGAAAUUAGACAGAGAAUGAAACAUAAUAAACCACAUAGAAUAGUUAAGAUUAUUAGGAAGACACCAAGUUUGCUCCCCAAAUUAGUGCAUCCAUUACUUGGAGCAAGAUCUGCAUGUGUUAUGGCCUUUGUUUUUGGCAUUGUUGUUGUGUUCAAAUAGGCUCAUGCAGACUAAGAGGAAACAAACUAUACAUAUACAUAUACAUAUAGCUUUUUAUAUGUAUAUUUAUAUUUAUUUACAUACACAUAUGAAAGACUGAAAGAUAGAGAGAAGGAAUUAUAGAAUCACUUGGAGCAAAGGUUGCUUAAUAGAAACGGAUUCUUGGGUUAUAGCAUAUAUGUUUUGUUUAAGAUGUUCACAUAAGGAUAAAUGGUUGGUUCACAAAACUUUGAUAGAAAGGUAUUCUGCUACAAAAAGAUAAAGUCACAUUUACUCUUAUUUUCAUUUUUCUCUUAUUCUAAACCUAUAUAUAUACAUAGCUCUUCUUUUUUAUUAUUAUUAUUUUUAAAAAGUUACAUAGUCAUAGUGUUAAAUUAUACACAUGUGUGUAUAUGUGUGUGUGGAAGAUGGGUACUCAUUGGACUUUUCUUUGAGUGAAAUAAAUUUUGGCUUUAUAUU